CCUUGUAAAACACACCAAACCACCGGCUGCUUGUGAUCUCGUCGCAAGCUCCAACAAUGCUGGAGCUAGAAAUCCCACGGACCAAACAAUCCCUCCCCCUCACCUUGAUGUCUCUGCAGCUGGAUGAAAACCCCACCUGGAGGGCAGCCUAGGGAGUGAGGCUUUGGUGGCGGACACUUGGCGCCCUCGACAGAGUGCUUUGUCUCCAGAUCCCUGAACAGAUCUUCUUCAAAUGCAGGAUUAUAGCAGUGCUGUGGGCAAUCAGAGCCCCAGAGCUCCACUGGAAGGGGAGGAUGCCAAAAGCCACCAUGCAAGAUGCCCAAUGGGAUUAAACGGAAAGCCGUCGGGAGCAUUGAUGUCUACUUAAAAAAAAAAAAAAAAAAAA